CAGCGUCACAUUUUCAAAUGAUAUAACUUCCUUUGCCUCUUCUACAGUGAGCUAUACAAAUUAUGAAUAACACAUCAAAAUUGCUUCCGUCAUUCAUAUAUGCAUAAUUCACAAUGAUGAAAUAUUACCUUAUCCCAAUAUGCCCCUAAAAGAUCCCUAGUUUUUGAAGUAUCCUGAAAUGUGUAAACAACAUCAUGAAAAAUUGAGGGCAACAAUGAAAAGAAACAAAAAAGGUGUUAUCAAGGAAUAACAUGAAGAAAAUACAGAAGGAUAAAUACAUGAACUAAGCAAUAAUUUGAUACAUAUCAUUGUACUUAUAAGAUUGAAAGAAAACCUUAUCAAGCUUUUUGAAUCGGUGAUGUACAGGUGAAUGUCUUCUAUAGUUAAUGGUUGAGC
rnacentral:lncRNA from 1 species